UACGUAGGGGCCGAGCGUUGUCCGGAGUUAUUGGGCGUAAAGCGCGCGCAGGCGGCCUCGCGCGCCCGACGUGAAAGCCCCCGGCUUAACCGGGGAGAGUCGUUGGGGACGGCGGGGCUUGAGGGCGGGAGAGGUCGGUGGAAUUCCUGGUGUAGCGGUGGAAUGCGCAGAUAUCAGGAGGAACACCGGUGGCGAAGGCGGGUCUCUGGGCGGUAACUGACGCUGAGGAGCGAAAGCGUGGGGAGCGAACAGG
rnacentral:rRNA from 1 species